rnacentral:lncRNA from 1 species
CGUGUGCCAGACACACGGUUUGUGUUCCUCAGCUAGAGCGUUAUUAGGCUACAUCACAUUGGACCCCUGGAAGACGGGGCUGUAGUGGAGCAGGUUGAGAACUUCAAGUUCCUUGGCGUCCACAUCACCAACAAAGUAACAUGGUCCAAGCACACCAAGACAGUCGUGAAGAGGGCACGACAAAACCUAUUCCCCCUCAGGAGACUGAAAAGAUUUGGCAUGGGUCCUCAGAUCCUCAAAAGGUACAGCUGCACCAACCUGACGGGUUGCAUCACUGGCUGGUAUGGCAACUGUUCGGUCUCUGACCGCAAGGCACUACAGAGGGUAGUGCGUAUGGCCCAGUACAUCACCAGGGCCAAGCUUCCUGCCAUCCAGGACCUCUAAACCAAGCGGUGUCAGAGGAAGCCCUAAAAAUUGUCAAAGACUCCAGCCACCCUAGUAAUAGACUGUUCUCUCUGCUACCGCACGGCAAGUGGUACCGGAGCGCCAAGUCUUGGUCUAAGAGGCUUCUAAACAGCUUCUACCCCCAAGCCAAAAGACUCCUGAACAGCUAAUCAAAGGGCUACACACACUGUAAAAACAUUUUGUUUCUGUACUUAUGAAUAAUGGUAGAAUACUGUGAAAUUACAGGGAUAAACUUAUAUUUAACUUUCGUUGUGUUGAAUAAUAGGAGAUGUCAGUAAAUGCGAAAUACAUUAAACUUCCUGUAUUUUUACAGACACGCAUCCCCUUUUCACAACAAUAAGCUGUAGAAAUACAGUAAUAUACAUUGUAAAGAAAACACUACAUUUACCAUUGUUUUAUGGAUAUUUACUUUAGUUUUACAUUCUAAAUGCAGAUAAUUAUAGUAAAAUAAAGUUUCUGAUGUUUAAACAGUAUACAAUUAUGCAAGAGAAUGUAAAAAAAAAAUGCUGUCGUCUGGGAUUGUACUGAUACUGAUAUCACUACAUUACAAACAUUAACUGCAUUCUACCUUGACUCUCUAUUUUCACAACCAAUAAUAGUUACAUUGAGAGUAGGUUUUUGUAAUAUUAUUAUAAUAAUCUGUUUUCUAGCUUUAUUUUUGUCAACAAUUAAGGAGUUGUCUGUUUUUUUAGCUGACCAAUUCUCUAUUUUCACAACGGAUACCAGUUGAAUUGAGAGUAGUUUUUGUAAUAUUAUGAUUAUAAUCUGUGUGCUAGCUAUAUUUUGUCAUCAAUUAAGGAGUUCUUUAGGCUUUUAGCUGGCCAAAUCUUUAUUUUCACAACCAAUGCCAGCAAAUUAGAAGAUUCCAGGUAAAAAUAGGAGUUCAUGGCAUAAAAUUGCAGUAAUAUACUUUAUUUUGAUUGAAAGUAAAUCACCGUUUUAUACAGAUUAUUUAUAUACAUUUUUAGUCUGUAGUUUUAGUCUAUUUCUGGCACCUGUGCUGCCAGACUAUUACAGUAAAUUAAAAAAUAAAAAUACAGUGCAGACUAUGUGCAUUGCCCCCCUCUUUUAUGCUGCUGCUACUCUUUGUUUAUCUAUGCAUAGUCACUUUAACUCUACCUACAUGUACAUAUUACCUCAAUUACCUUGACUAACCGGUGCCCCGCACAUUGACUCUGUACCGGUACCCCCUGUAUAUAGCCUCGCUAUUGUUAUUUUACUGCUGCUGUUUACUUAUUUGUUAAUUUUAUUUUAAAUUUUUUACUUGUCAAUUGUUUACUUAACACUUAUUUCUCUUAAAACUGCAUUGUUGGUUAAGGGCUUGUAAGUAAAAUUUAAUUUAAUUCCCAUCUACAUCAAGGUUUGUUUUAGAGCUAAAAAUGUUUUGGAAGAAAUGGGGGUGCAAAGGUUUUGAGCCCUGUUUAUACAUGGUUUAUUCCUGUUUCCUGAUCUUGUCCACAUUUUCAGAAAUGUGUCUACACAUGGAAUUAAAAUGUGUCUCUUAUC